rnacentral:rRNA from 1 species
AGUUUGAUCCUGGCUCAGAGUGAACGCUGGCGGCAUGCCUAACACAUGCAAGUCGAACGGCAGCAUGAUCUGUAGCAAUACAGGUUGAUGGCGAGUGGCGGACGGGUGAGGAACACAUCGGAAUCUGCCCGGUCGUGGGGGAUAACGUAGGGAAACUUACGCUAAUACCGCAUGAGACCGAGAGGUGAAAGCGGGGGAUCGCAAGACCUCGCGCGACUGGAUGAGCCGAUGUCGGAUUAGCUAGUUGGUGGGGUAAAGGCCCACCAAGGCGACGAUCCGUAGCUGGUCUGAGAGGAUGAUCAGCCACACUGGGACUGAGACACGGCCCAGACUCUACGGGAGGCAGCAGUGGGGAAUAUUGGACAAUGGGGGCAACCCUGAUCCAGCAAUGCCGCGUGUGUGAAGAAGGCCUUCGGGUUGUAAAGCACUUUUGUCCGGAACGAAACGUGCGGGGUGAAUAGCCUCGUAAACUGACGGUACCGGAAGAAUCAGCACCGGCUAACUUCGUGCCAGCAGCCGCGGUAAUACGAAGGGUGCAAGCGUUACUCGGAAUUACUGGGCGUAAAGGGUGCGUAGGUGGUUUGUUAAGUCUGCCGUGAAAUCCCCGGGCUCAACCUGGGAAUGGCGGUGGAUACUGGCAAGCUGGAGUGCGGUAGAGGGUAGUGGAAUUCCCGGUGUAGCAGUGAAAUGCGUAGAGAUCGGGAGGAACACCAGUGGCGAAGGCGGCUACCUGGACCAGCACUGACACUGAGGCACGAAAGCGUGGGGAGCAAACAGGAUUAGAUACCCUGGUAGUCCACGCCCUAAACGAUGCGAACUGGAUGUUGGGUGCAACUUGGCACUCAGUAUCGAAGCUAACGCGUUAAGUUCGCCGCCUGGGGAGUACGGUCGCAAGACUGAAACUCAAAGGAAUUGACGG